GACGAACGCUGGCGGCGUGCUUAACACAUACAAGUCGAACGGAAAGGCCCUGCUUUUGUGGGGUGCUCGAGUGGCGAACGGGUGAGUAACACGUGAGUAACCUGCCCUUGACUUUGGGAUAACUUCAGGAAACUGGGGCUAAUACCGGAUAGGAGCUCCUGCUGCAUGGUGGGGGUUGGAAAGUUUCGGCGGUUGGGGAUGGACUCGCGGCUUAUCAGCUUGUUGGUGGGGUAGUGGCUUACCAAGGCUUUGACGGGUAGCCGGCCUGAGAGGGUGACCGGCCACAUUGGGACUGAGAUACGGCCCAGACUCCUACGGGAGGCAGCAGUGGGGAAUAUUGCACAAUGGGCGGAAGCCUGAUGCAGCAACGCCGCGUGCGGGAUGACGGCCUUCGGGUUGUAAACCGCUUUCGCCUGUGACGAAGCGUGAGUGACAGUAAUGGGUAAAGAAGCACCGGCUAACUACGUG
rnacentral:rRNA from 1 species